rnacentral:rRNA from 1 species
AACGAACGCUGGCGGCAUGCCUAACACAUGCAAGUCGAACGAGACCUUCGGGUCUAGUGGCGCACGGGUGCGUAACGCGUGGGAACCUGCCCUUAGGUUCGGAAUAACUCCCCGAAAGGGGUGCUAAUACCGGAUAAUGUCUUCGGACCAAAGAUUUAUCGCCUUUGGAUGGGCCCGCGUUGGAUUAGCUAGUUGGUAGGGUAAAAGCCUACCAAGGCGACGAUCCAUAGCUGGUCUGAGAGGAUGAUCAGCCACACUGGGACUGGGACACGGCCCAGACCCGUCGGGGAGGCGGCGGUGGGAAUAUUGGACAAUGGGCGAAAGCCUGAUCCAGCAAUGCCGCGUGAGUGAUGAAGGCCUUAGGGUUGUAAAGCUCUUUUACCCGGGAUGAUAAUGACAGUACCGGGAGAAUAAGCUCCGGCUAACUCCGUG